UUUUUCUGUAGAUCAUUCCACAGAAGAUUUUCACUUAGAAACCAUUUAACAGAUUUUGUUCAUGACACUAUAUCAAACAAAAAUACUGUUAAACAAUUUCCUGGUUUUCAACACAACAUAAGUAGGAUAAAAGAGAACUUGUUGACAAGGUAAAUCAACAUAAAGUUAAUUGAAAUAUCCAAACAGCACUCACUGCUCAAAAUCUAAACAUUAGG
rnacentral:lncRNA from 1 species